AACCUAGCACACCUGCGGUGUGUACCUGCGGAAGGAUCAUUACCGAGUUAGGGUCUCUCCAGGCCCGACCUCCAACCCCUUGUUUACUUAUACCAUGUUGCUUUGGUGGGCCCGCCUUGAUGGCCACCGGGGACUUUUUAUAUCUCUGGUCAGUGUCCGCCAGUAGCCUUCUUAAAAUUCUUUUUUAUAACUAUGUUGUCUGAGUAUAACAAAUAAAUUGUUUAAAACUUUUAACAAUGG
rnacentral:misc_RNA from 1 species